UGCCAGCCGCCGCGGUAAGACGAAGGUGGCAACCGUUGUUCGGAAUCACUGGGCAUAAAGAGCACGUAGGCGGCCAGGUAAGUCGGGUGUGAAAGCCCUCGGCCCAACCGAGGAAUUGCGCCCGAUACUGCUUGGCUUGAGGGCAGGAGGGGAACGUGGAAUUCCUGGUGGAGCGGUGAAAUGCGUUGAUAUCAGGAGGAACACCGGCGGCGAAGGCGAAGUUCUGGCCUGCUUCUGACGCUGAGGUGCGAAAGCCAGGGGAGCAAACGGGAUUAGAUA
rnacentral:rRNA from 1 species